CAGAUCAAAUGAAGGGCAUUUAUAUUUGUACUUACACAACAUAUAAAACACAUCAGUCCAAUCUUCUAGAUACCUUGCACAAGUCAGUUCUGUAUCUAAAAUUAUUAUCCAAUGCAGCUUGCUAUAACUACAUAUUCAAAAGUUCUUAAAUAAAAGCUGGUGUCCUGAGUUUUAAGCACAACAUACUGUAGAAUUUGAUAUUUCUGACCUCAAGCCUACAAACUUUUCAAGCUCCAACAUGCUGUGUACCCAUGCAAAUGGCCCAAACUUUCAGGAAAAACCAGUUCAUUGAUAUUAACAUAGGCGAGCCAAAAACACGAGUUCCUCAUGAGAAACUGAGACAGAGGUUAUACAGCACAUCCUGUCCCACAGAAACAAGAUGUUCCUUUUGUAAAAAAUGUACACAAUAAAACGGUACACGUUCGCAAUUAACAGUGUACAAUCUGCUGACACGAAUCGGUGUUCUUUGGUUUUAUUUUUUGCAUUCUGAUUUUACAUGCUCUGACUCCCUAAAAGAAGACUACUAUCACGAUUUAAAAAAAGAAAGAAAGAAAAAAAAAGAGGAAACAGUGGUGACAUUAAAUUUCAGUUGCUUAACAGUAGAAAGAACAUGUCUGGACCAAUAAGAUUUUGCCAACAAUGUACUGUAACAUACUAAAAGUUAAAAACAAAAACAUGGAAAAAAAAUAAAAUAAAAAAUAAUAAAAGGAAGGAAAGUCUAGUGACAAAUGUAUAAAGAAAGAGAGGUUAAGUACUAAUAAAAAAAAAAAAAAAAGUCCAGCAUAUUCAACAAACUUUGACUAAUAAGUCACUAAGUAUAACCAGCCACAAUCAUUUCUUAGAAGAAUGAGCUACAGUGUGUUUUCCUGGAAAGAGAUUGUGUUGUUAAGAGCUACAUCUGCUCAGUGUGUUCGAUCCUCACCUAAUCCUUUCUAAUUUAAAAAGUUGAGAAAGAAAAUAAAGGAAAAACCAAACAAAAAAGAGUAUAGUGUUUGCUAUACACAAGAAUAGCUAAUAAAACUAAAGGCAUAAUUAACUACUAGCUUCUUAAUGAUCCUAGAAAUUUAAAUCUAAAACAUGCAUGAACAAUCCAUCGUUAAUAUCUGUAAAAACCCUUAAUGGAAUGUGUGUUUCAUUUUCAUGUUUGGCUGAAAGGAACUGGAUUGCUUUAUAUGCCCUUUCCCUCGAACACUUUCUGUUUCUAUUUCUCAUGAUCUUGAGUAUAUUGAGCUUUACAUUCAUGCUUUCACUUUCAAACCUGGAAGACUACAGGACCACUACACACUGCUCGCACUUGACCUUGGUUGCUUUUGGAUCAAGCUGAAAACCACAUUCCAGGAAUGUGGGUCUCAGUUAUUCUGAUCGAGGUUCAAAUGGUCUACAUGACCAUUCUUGAUUGAUGCAUGGCAUCAUGGGUAAAGGCAUGCAGGCACAAUAUCAACAUCAAUAUUGAAUUAAUAAAGCAGAAGUAUGCUGUGUGCUUUA